UGAGUAACACGUGGAUAACCUACCUAUAAGACUGGAUAACUUCGGGAAACCGGAGCUAAUACCGGAUAAUAUAUUGAACCGCAUGGUUCAAUAGUGAAAGACGGUUUUGCUGUCACUUAUAGAUGGAUCCGCGCCGCAUUAGCUAGUUGGUAAGGUAACGGCUUACCAAGGCAACGAUGCGUAGCCGACCUGAGAGGGUGAUCGGCCACACUGGAACUGAGACACGGUCCAGACUCCUACGGGAGGCAGCAGCC
rnacentral:rRNA from 1 species